rnacentral:rRNA from 1 species
UACGAAGGGGGCUAGCGUUGCUCGGAAUCACUGGGCGUAAAGGGUGCGUAGGCGGGUCUUUAAGUCAGGGGGUGAAAUCCUGGAGCUCAACUCCAGAACUGCCUUUGAUACUGAAGAUCUUGAGUUCGGGAGAGGUGAGUGGAACUGCGAGUGUAGAGGUGAAAUUCGUAGAUAUUCGCAAGAACACCAGUGGCGAAGGCGGGUCUCUGGGCCGAUACUGACGCUGAGGAGCGAAAGCGUGGGGAGCGAACAGG